AUUUUACUGUAGGUGUGUGGCAGCUCAGACGCAUCUGGGAAAGAUUUGCGGAAAGCAGCCAACAUCGCAUCGAAUGAUUUGUUGGGCAUCCGCUCAGAUGUCUUCACCUGAAGAAAGGUGACCAUAGCUGAGAAUACUGACAGCUUAUUUCCUGGGGUGACAGCAACGUUGCAUUGUUCCAACAUGCGGGCCCACCGUUUUUCUUCUGCAGGUGAAAGUUCACGGAAUGCACGAGCAUUUCGUAGCAUUGUUUCAAUGUUGGUCAAACUCACUGGCUCCGCCACCACCACCACCUCCUCCUCUUCCACCUAAGCAUCAGGCAGAUCAAGAUGGUGAUCUGCUGCUUCCACGUAGUCAAUAACAUUGACGUUCACAGCUUCACCAUGAUGAACCCACCUAGUAUAUGUGACCGACAUCCCAUGCAAGUGUAGAUGAUUUUGCACAGUUGACUGGGGUCUUGUAACUGAAUUCAUAUAACUGCUACACGGGCAGAGCACAUCUGAUUUCGGACCACCGUACUCAGCUCUGAUAAAGUUCAUGAAGUUUUCAACCCCCUCGACAUAUGCAGCGGAGAAUCUUCGAGCAGAAGUUAUCCAAGUCCUGUCCAUCUGUUAGACAUAUAAAUUAGUUCUUCUACUAGAUAUUACAGGAAAAACAUAUAUGCUUUUUUAUGAAGUCCAGAAAAAAAAUACCUAGGUCGAUGUCUAAAGCUAUGGCAAGAUAUUUGGACGAGCAGAUCUAAGUAACGAAAUAUAUGUAAAGCUAAUUCAGCAAACAGAUUUGAGUGCCAAAUUAUGGCAGGCUAUUUCAGCAGUCAAUGAGGCCGAGCACACAGCCAUCGAACUAUCGAAGGCCAUCGCAGCAACAAAGAUCGAGUAUAAAACGGUGUAGAGCUAUUUCACCUAACAGAUUGGCUACUAGACCAUGGCAAUCUACGUCACAAUAAAUAUAUGGCAGGAUAUUUUAGCAACUAAUCGGCCUUGGCAUGCCAUCUCAGCUAAGAAGAUUGAGUGCAGAAUAGGGCAAGGAAGCUUCUUAAGCAAAGCAUAUUGACAGUAAACUACUUCGGCAAACAGUGAGAUUAACAGCGUCUAUCAGCUAACAUUCAGCGCUACACCGACAUGAACGGGGCCUCGGUCUAGAAUGCGCGUACGUGGGAGACGCUGACCGCCGUGCCUCUCCACACAAACGUCGCCAGCGGUGGCGGCGCUGACCGCCGUGCGCCUCCACAAGAACGUAGCCAGAGGUGGCGGCGCGGCUAGAGGACAGCAGUCUACGAGAGCGUACUGUGGGAGCGAGAGGAUCGCCGAACCGCGGCGCCGACGUAUCGGUGCGGCGGGGAGGGCGGCUUUGGCGGAGCGAAUGGAGUGGAGGGGACAGGGGGGAGGGGGUUUGGGGAAUACUAUUGGCUAGUUGGCCGAAGGGCAGUUGAAUCGGAUUUGGGGCGAAUUUUUGGGUGUGGGGGGGAGGAUUUUCGCGCGGUGGGCGGGGGGAGUUUGGCGCAUGGUCGGUUUCUCCAAGUGCAGUCCCACGUGUCAGUGAAGAGGCAAGCCGAAGCGCGUUCCGUUUGUGUGAGCCGUGUGCAGGACCGAACGUGUGUGGGGUGCAAUGCGACCGCGACAGAAGUGUUGUGAGUGUACCGCCUUUUUUCCUUUUAAACUAGGUGCUUCGCCCCCUCAAAAAAAAUUGUUGCUUCGCGCGAUCCAUCGAUACUACUACUAGUAAUCCGGUAAUCCCGACUAAAACGGCGCGGCCGGGUCUUUUCCCGCGCGAUAUGGUGGGAGGUUGGCUUAGUUGGGUUUUUUAGGACGAGUAAUGUUACACCUACGUAAUCCCAGUUACGUAAUUAACGUAAUGUGAAACAUGUGAGCUGUUGAUUGUAGUUUGGGGGGAGGGAGGGGCCCACCACCAUGAAAAUCAGGGGAGGAGAGAGAGAGGCAAUUUACGUUAACCCUUUCGUAGGUUCCCGUAGAUGUAGAAAGAUGUGAAAUGCGUGAAUGUGUAGUGGACGUACUAUUGGAGUGCCUAAGAUAAUUUGUGUAUGUAUAGACCCUAUGUGUUUAUUUUACUUCACAUGUUAGAUUUGUCUCGGUUCAAUACAAAGCAGAGUUGGUGAUGAUGGUGUGCCUGUCAUCCUGCAAUAUAGGCCGUCCGAUCUAUAUCUAACAGAUAGGAAGGAAACUAUGACAAUUUACCCGCACUCCUCUCCACAUUUGCAGAUAAGGCUUUCCCUCGUUCAUCCUUUUCUCCCACAAGAUCUUGAUCUUCCGUGCAACGCACGGGCAUCUUGCUAGUACUCCUACAAUAUGUAUAUUAUUGUGAAAUUUCAUAUACACCGGCCGAGAUUAAUGCAAACACGGCAGAUUUUCAUUACAUUUCGAACUUUUAUAGGACAGCAAAAUAAAAGAAACCCGACCCUAAACCUAUUCUACGGCGGCGAUCGACAUCCUCCAUCUGCGAUCUCUAUGUACGGGGGCGGGGUUCAAGACCCGUGAAGUGAAGGUGCGGUCUCCGGCGAGGAAGAGUAGAACACGGGAUACGGACCGGCCAGUUGGCACACCAUGCCCUGCCGCCUCCCAUGCCCUACUCAUCCUCGGAGGAGUCCCCGACCUCGGUAGUGCCGGACGUUGGACGGCGGCAAGUAGGACGCGUGGCUGACGGUGCUCCCGUCGUCGGCCGCCAGCGUGGCCACCGCUUGUGCGGUCGCGUCCGCGUCCGGCUACACCGCUAUUGCGUCGCGAGAGGCGACUUGAGCGAGGGCGGCGACCUCGAGCUUCAUCCCCGAAGACAAGCUCUCCCGCAGAGCGUUCACACUUGCGGUCAUGGCGGAUGUGGUGCCAGGUAGGAGGACGAUGCGCUAUGGUGUGGAGGUUAGCUGGGCGUUGCCGCUUUAAGUAGCGCAUUCCGGUGAGGCCAAGCGUCCGGGUGCGUCAUUAAGUUGCCAGAGUUGGUUCCUCGGGCAUCGAGCCUCUUAACGACGACAUACGAACGGACGGCAUGAAUGCGGGCAGCUGGCGCCGGCUGGGAACACACCGCGCGAUGGCGCGAGGAACGAGGGUUUUGGUGUGCUAGGGUAGUCAGCUGCGGUCGUGGCAACGUUGGAGAUGCCCUUUGCUCACAUGCGAUCCCCGCAUGUCAUUGAAAAAGCAAGACGACCCGGCAUGGUCUCAGGUCCAGAGGAUGCAGUUGGCCGCGCUACACCACUCCGGGGACGCGUCGCGGCGCCCCGUGCAUCCUCGACGAGCCGGGUGUUGGGGUGUGUUUGGAUUGUGGCCAAAGUGCACCUUACCAAAAUUUUGGUCAUGACCCAAAGAUUGGUCUUUGUUUGGAUGGUUGCCAUUUUUUUGGCAUGCCAAUGAACUCUAGCCAACUCUAGUUCAUUUUUCUUGCCAAUGUCGGCCAAAUCAUGGGCAACCAAUACCUCAACCAAAAUUUUGGUCAUGACCCAAAGAUUGGUCUUUGUUUGGAUGGUUGCCAUUUCUUUGGCAUGCCAAUGAACUCUAGCCAACUCUAGUUCAUUUUUCUUGCCAAUGUCGGCCAAAUCAUGGGCAACCAAUACCUCAACCAAAAUUUUGGCUACCCAAUGCUUUGAUGGGGCAACCUUGGGCACAAACCAAACAUACCGUUGGUCGUGCCACAGCACUAACGCCACCCUCGGCACACUGAAAUCGACCGUGUCUAGCGACGAUAUGAGCGUGUUGCUCACCGCGGUCGCCGUGUCCAGAGGCGGUGCUGGAGCUGCGCCCCGUUGUUGGCCCCAACGACCCACAUGUACGGUUGUCGGUGGCGAGGAGGUCGUGGGCUAGCUCCUCCAUUGGACUAGUCUGCGCUAUGUCGUCCCGACGGGUGUGCCCCACAUGUCGGUUUCCCUGUUUUCCCGGCCAUAUUCGAGCAUCAGUGCUCCGCGUUGCGCAUUAGACCUUUCACUAUGUAGGCCAAGCGAGACAACUUAUUGUUUAUUUGAGCCGUUCAAGUAUAAUCAUGUGGCGUUUGCUUAUUUCUCAUUCCUCUCCAACCCUCUUCUCCAUCGAUCAUGUCGCCCUCCAGUCGAGUCCAUCCUCCCACAUGCCUCAUUUGAACAUUCCGCCGAGUAUCAUUCGCAUGUACCCACCCUAGUCCUCUUUCAAUAGAUCUCCAGACCCCGAGAUGAAAUCAAGAGGGAACGAGUGGGGGCACGUGAUACCUAAGGCGGAUUCAAAAUUUUGAACCGGUGAUCAUAGCAUCUGCAAAUCAUAUAUAAAGGGUAUUCAAUGUUCGUUUCGUUUUUUAACGUACAAUAUACUCCCCCAAUCCAUUCUAGUUUACAUAAGUUUUAUGUGUAGUCAAAGUAUCUCUACUUUGAUAAAAAAAAGGUAUCAACAUUCAACAACGCCCAAUCAAUAUUGUUAGAUUCGUACGUACUCCUUGAUUUGUACUCGAGAUGGUUUCCAAUUUGACUAUUGACAAGAUUAAUAGUACAUGAGAUGUAUAAUGUGAAAAUUAUAUCAUUGGAAACUCCUUUCACAUACGAAUUUGACUGUAUGCUUUGUGUAAGUUGCAUGUCAUAUAUUAUUACUCUAACAUUUGGUCAAAGUUAGCCUCGAAAAACGCAUUAGACCCUGUAUGCUUUGUGUAAGUUGCAUGUCAUAUAUUAUUACUCUAACAUUUCUGUAAGUUGCAUGUCAUAUAUUAUUACUCUAACAUUUGGUCAAAGUAGUAUAGUGGAAGUGGAUCCUCUGACGUAGGUAUCCCUGCCUUACCCUCCCUUUCGGUCACUUACUGGCGGACCCCAUGCUUGCUAGGCCCCGCAUGUCAGUUACUCAAUGGGUUCGGCCACGUCAGGGGAUCCUCAUCCGUAGUAUACUCCCUCUGUUUUUAUUUACUCCGCAUAAAACGGAGGGAGUGGUGGUAUAAUAAAUGACGCGGGCGGGGGAGGGGGAGGGACGUCGGUUUGCUCUCAACUGCGGUCCCACAAGCGAGCGAAAACGCAAGACGAAGCGUGUUCCAUUCGGUGAGCGACGUGGAGGGUCCAGCGUGCCGGGCUGCAACGCGAACGCGACAAGAGCGAUGUACAGUCAAAACCUAUUGACCGAUCGUCACCGGAACCACUAUUCACACCAGAACCUUUGCUGCUCGGCCUACGCUAGCCACUGCCCUAAAACCACACCAAAUCUCCAGCCCAUUCCCCCACCUUUCGAUCCCCUAGCCCGCAUCAAGCAUCCCGUAGUUCACCGGAAAGCCAUGGUGCGCCGCAAGAUCACUUACUACAAGAUGCUGACGCCGGAGCGCCGCGCAGAAAUCACGGUGGCGGUCGGCGCCACAGACCUCCAUUCCCAAGCUCGCUUUGCGGCGGGCCAAUCCCCGAGUUCUCUAGAGCCAAGCUACGAGGAGGAGGAAGCCGAUCCAAUGUUCAUGGCGGAGGUCGCGGCACAGAAGGCCCCCGACGGGUAUGAGACGAUGGACGUCGACUUCGUGCCGGCGUCCGAGUCCCCCAUGGUGCAGGCGGACCAGCGGUUCAACAUGGCGAUACUAAAGGAGGACCGGGAGGCAGAGGCUCAACUCGACGCGGAGCGCGCGCAUGACGCUACCAUCGAGGCUCUCUUGCAGGCGGAACCGGAUGUCGUGGAUGUGAACCGGGCGGCGGAGGCUCAACUUGAGGCGGAGCGCACGGAUGCCGCUGCCAUUGAGGCCCUCCUGCAGGCAGAGUCGGACGUCCUGGACUUGAACCGGGCGGCAGAGGCUCGACUCGACGCAGAGCGCGUGGAUGCCGCUCUCAUCGACGCCCUCCUGCAGGCGGAACCGGACGUCCUGGACUUGAACCGGGCGGCGGAGGCUCGACUCGACGCGGAGCGCGUGGAUGCCGCUGCCAUCGAGGCCCUCCUGCAGGCGGAACCGGACGUCCUCGACUUGAACCGGGCUGUGCUCUCGUUCGUGUAGAGCGCCCGCACGCUCCGCUUGAACGAGUAGCUAGAGGCCGAGGACAACCACGGUGCGGAGACACACGUCGGCAGCGACGGCUAGUUCGCGCCGGCAGCCAAAGACGACGAGGCCGUCUCUUUCCCCGAGCAGUGAUAGUUUUUCUUUAUGUUGUUGUUUUUAUGGAUCUUUUGCUGUGUAAAAACAUAUAUUUGUUAUGCAAGUCGCCUGACUUGGGUCAGUCUACCAUUUCAGGCGGUUGGAUGAAUAUCCUACGUCUCCUAACCCUUCUUUCCUUCUUCCUCACCUCUUCUUCUUCCCCAACAGACCACCGCACGGGACGUACGGAUACUCCCCAACAUGCGGUUGGAUAAACAUACUCUAUCAACGAAAAUUAUGUGUCAGCGAUAGGAUGGCUGAGUUUCGUUUGUUCACAUGCGACAGCACGUGUCAGUGAGGGUGCGUUCCCUUGGUUGGGUUUGCGGCGUGCAGGAGCGACUGUGUGAGGGUGCGGUGCGACCGCGGUGUGCAGGAGCGACCGUGUGAGGGUGCGGUGCGACCGCGACAGUCGUGCGCAAGUGUACCUCCUUUGCGUCACCUUGUGUCCAGAUCUGAGAUGCCACGUGUACCAGAUGAAUGACUCCAAGUUCGACCACCGUGAUGCAAGGUGCGAGCCAAGGAACACUGUUGGAGAGACCCCUCUCAUAAUUUUCCUACAUUGGUCGUUUGAUUCAUAGGAUAGAAUGCUAUAGGAUUUUUUCCCUAUGUAAUCAUGUUUUAAUUGGCAAUCUAGCAUCCACUCCAACUUUUGUUUCACUUCCUUUGUUCCUACGAAGAGAGUACUUGCUCUAAAUGAUGUGCCGCUGCAAGAGCCGCCUAUAUUAAUUAACCAUGCUCUAAAAAGGUGGACCAACUUUGGCUAUAGUAGUACUGUACUCGGUUAGUAGGUGACCUUGCGCUUGGCACUUCUCCUCUUCCGAAAGUCAAACAAUAAUUAUGGUACUACACUAAUACUUUUGGCAAUCUGACACCAAAUGAACUGUUGCACGUCCACCGCUUGUAAGCAAAAGUUUCUCCUCGUGCUGCGAGCCACCGUGCACGCAUUGGCGAGGGAGAAGGCGUAGUAAGCAAGCUUCUCGUCGUUCUGCGAGUUGACGGGACACAUCAAAGUUAUUUAUUAGUACUCUCUUCAAAAAGGGCCGACCAUGUCCAUGGCUACCAUCCCGUGCUCUGUCAUUGAGUACGUGCACUAUUCACGUGCCAUCGAGGAGAAAAAAUAUUGCGUAGUACUAGGUGCCAUCGAAGUGCACGACUCACUUACGCACUGCAUAUCUCCAUUUUCUUGCAUGACACGCCACCUUGAUGCUAGAUGUCCCGCGUGUCAUGGAGGCAUAUAGUAUGAUUUUGUAAAAUGGAGGCAUAUAGAUGUCCCGUGUGUCGGCAACAGGAUGAACAAAGCUCAUGUCUUAAACGAAAGAGUGGAAGAACAUAGGUUCCCGACGGCCGAGAAGGAGCUACAAACCUCGGGGUGGAGCGUGUGCACUCAUAAUAUUUUAUAUUAUUCAGCGAUAUAAAAUCAACCAAAUCUCUCCACGUUCCUAUACCAUUCUAUAGAAUGAGAAUAACUUUGAACGUAAGCCAUUGAUCCACUCUGUCCAAUGGUCAUAGUUGGAAAAUCCAAACAAAACCAAGCAUUGGAUCAACUCUUUUUUCUAGAUCAACUCUUUUAGCACUUAGAUUGUUGCCGCCUGCCCACCUAGCCCACCUGUAUAUCCGCUCACGUGUGAUGACCACAGGAGCUAUCCACUCAGAUUGUAUGUUAAAAUAUAAAGGUCGAUAACUAAUGCGGCAGGAAGUCUUAUUUGCAUCCAGGAAGUCCUUUACUAGUACUACUAGGAGUACUAGUGCGGUGAGAUGGUUUCUCGAAGAAGACGAUGGAGAAGCGGAGUCAGCGAAGAGUGAAAUGAUGGUUGCUUCGUCCGUGCUUUUGUGAUUUGACGCCUCACUGCUUUGUGAUUUGUGAUAGAAGGGACAGGGGAGUAGACUCUGUGCUCUAUACUGUACUACAUGCGUCCAAGCAUGGGAGAAAGAGGAGAGACGUUGCAUUUUUCUAUUCCUUCAAUCAAUCAAUCAGGGAGCUUCGGUUCCAUCUUUUUGGCUUUGGCAACACUGUCCACAAUGGUUCCCACGAUGCCAAAAGCUAUUUUCACAUUUGGCUACACAUUGUGGAUGCCCUUAACCAUACCACUUGGUUUUGCUCCUGUGUGCUAUCUAUACAAAUCUCAAUUAUAUUGAUCUAAAAAAUUAUAGAAUCAAGAUUAGUAAAAAGGAGGUGAUUUUGCCGCGCGGAUGGCGGGGGAGGUUUCUUAUUUGAGCAAUGCUACAUCCACGUAAUGGUUUACGUAAAGUUACGAACUGAUGUGAUGUGGGACUAUUUGAUUGGAUUAAAGGAGAGGAUUAGGCCCACCCCACCUGAAAAUCAGGGGGGUAUAUAGAUUAGAUGGAAAGUAUACGUAGCCCUUUGUAAGUCUAGGAUUAGGCUUCUUAUUUUCGGAGGACGUUGUCCUGGCGGUUUGCUAACAUGCGGUCCCACGUGUCAGUGCUUUACCAAGCCGAUCCGCGUCCCACAUGAGGUAGAACAACGGCAGAAGCAACACGUGGUUAAGUUGAAGAAGAUGAGGGAGAAGCGAAUUCAGCAACGAGUGAAAUGAUGGUUGCUUCGUCCCUCCAACUUAACAGCGGGAAAGGUGCAGCUUUGUGAUUUGACGCCUCAUUGCUCAUUACUACGCCGGCGCCAUGACUGGGGUGCUUCACCCCGGCUGCUCUACACUGUAUUCCGGUAUGGCACGUGGACCCGGUAGCUUGAUGUCCCACAUGUCGGCGAAAGGGACUAGAAGAAUUAUGAAAGCGAGCGCUCCACUCUUACGACGGAGGAGUAGACGACACGACGGCCCAGUGAACUGUCACUUGUACUGUAUAGUACUAUAGUUUUGUUGUUUCGCACGAUCCAUCGAUACAAACCCGAUUAAACAGGAAAGGGCGGGAUUUUUCCCGCGCGGUAGAUGAUACUGGCCAUACAUUUCAAAGGCAAUUUUAAUGUAUGCAAACUGAAUAAUUAUAAGUAACAAUAUGAUAUCUAGUAAAACUAAAAACACAUAUGAUUUAUUGUGUUAGAGUGUAGUAGUAGUGUUGUAUUGCAUAGUUGUUAGAUGUAACAUGCGAUAACGUGUAGAGAUGUAGUUUUGGAGGGCCUACAGAGAGAAAAGCGUAAUACGGUCACCGAACUUCAGAAUAAGCUGAUUAUGGUCACUAUAUACGUUUUGCGGUGAUUAUACGGUCACUUGCUCACAGUUCAACAUCGGAUUGCACUCUGUUGACCGGCCAAAUAGUCUGCGUGGUGCCAUGUUGACUAGCUAAAUUGACCACAUUCCUUGUGGGUCCCACCUGUCAGUUUGCAUAGGCAAAAGGUCAGAUAAACACAAAUUUACGCAGGUGCGACAAGGCUCCAACCCGUGCAUGGGAAUCACCUAGUUGUGUAUGUGUCUGUCAGGGCCUGAUGUGUGCGCAUGCACGUGUAGGUUGAGCACUUGAGCGUGAGAGUGUGUGUUGGUCGUGUGGUGUACUGGUCUGUGCAUGCAUGCGUGCGUGUGUGCGUGUGAGUGUUGCGUGCGUGCGUGUGAGUGUUGUGUGCGUGCGUGGUUGCGUGUGUACGUGUGAGUGUUGCGUGCGUGGGUGCAUGUGUUUGUGUGAGUGUUGCGUGGAUGCAGUUCGUGUGCAUGCAUGCGUGUGUGUAUAAUCACCACACCAGCUCAUGUGUGUUAAAACAGACGGCUCAGCAUACCAAUACAAGGUCACCUUGUCCGCUGUGCCCGCGGUCAUGACUUCGAACCACCAUCCAAAUAUUUUUUUUGUCGUUUGUUUUCAUUCUUACUAGCAAGAUGCCGUGCGUUGCACGUAACAUCAAGAUGCUUUUGUAUGACUUGUUUAUCUUGUGAGAGAAAAGGAUGAACGAGGGAAGGCCUUAUUUGCAAAUGCGGAGAGGUGUGUGGGUACCUUUUUGCAAAAUUGCCAUAGUUUCUUUCCUAUCCGUCAGAUAUAAAUCGGACGGCCUAUAUUGCAGGAUGGCAGGCACACCAUCGUCACCAACUCUGUUUUUUAUAAGAGUGUAUUUUAUGUAUUUUAUAAGAGUGUAGAUGUAGAGUAUAUACAAGUCGACAGGUGCGCACGGUGGUAGUGAGAUAAUGUGAUGCAACACUAGAGGUGCCACGUGGAGCGUUUAACUGGUCAACUAGUCAUGUCAUGAGCAAAUACAGAGUUGUACGGUGAGCCCGUGACUGUAUAAUAACCACUAAACAUAAAUGGUGACCGUAAUGAGUGGAUUCUGAAGUCCAAUGUACGUAUCGUGCUUUCGCUUCAAAUACAAUGGUCGUCAUUGCAUAUAUCGCGAGAGAAAGAUGAAACAUGCGUGAAUUUUCUGGGGCUUACUUUUAGAGGACCUGGAGAUAGUUUUGUGUGCAUACGUGAAAGGGGCGUACAGGGGGGGUAUGCGAUGGAGAGAGAGAUGCUCUUUGUUUCUCUUUAAUAUGACUAAUUUUGUAGAGUAUAAAAUAUACAAAUUCACAGUGCGGAAUAAAUAUCAUUGUGGGCACCAUGCAAUGCAAAUUAGCGUUCGUACUCCUCCAUAUAACUUUGUAAUGUUGUAUAUAUGUAGAAACACUAAAAUAAUUUUUUGGCCACACUUUAUUCAAAAGGAAUGUUGUAUGCGAAAUAAACGUGAAGAGAGGGCUUUUUAGAUCAAUGGGGUACGUGAUGUAACAUGUGUGAAUGUGUAGUUGAUGCAUUUGGCGGGGCCUAGAGAGGUAUGUGUGUGUAUUACGUAUUCGAGAGAGGCAUGGAUAGAGGGGCCGAUGGGGGGCGUGGGAGAGAUAGCACGAGAAAUGAGAGUGGUCUAGAGAGAGAGACGAAUAUGACAUCACGACAAGAGAUUCCAUUCCCUUGAGUGUGUAUAUGCAAGGGGGGAGGGAAUAGAGGCACCAGGAGAAAUUUUCUGUGUGUGUGGUGUUUGUGUUGGUAUGUGUGGGUGUGAGAAGAUAAUGAGACGUGGGGGCAGAGGGUGUGUCACCGCGUGAGGUCCGGUGGGUCGAGGUGAGGCCCUUCGUUCGGUUCCAUCCUGCGCCACAUUGGUCGGCCCGUGACGCAUUUAGGAAGACCCAUGGAUGACUAGUCGUACAAGACAAAGCUAGCAGAAUUGUGAAGGACUCCGUGUCCACUGACAAAGCCGGCUAGGAUUUGUAACCCUAGGUUCUCGGACUAAGGUAACCCCUUUAUCUAUGAUAUUACUAUUCAUCCAACCUAACUUUAAGGGGCAUCCUACAGAAUGCUCUGCUAGAAUCAUACUCGUCGAUUAGGAAGAGAGGUGUGAGACAAUGCGUGAGAGACAGGCGUAAAGAUAAUGUGCGUACAUGAGACACGUAGGCAGGUCCAUGUAUAUAGAAAGGGUCGAUGAGGAUUGUGCGUGUGUAUGUUUGCGAGAGGAAGACUGCUUGUGAUAAAGGUUAGUGAAAACAGUUGUAAAUGGUUACGAGAGGGAGGGAGGGUUAUAUCUAGGGCAUGUGUGCGAGAAAGACACCUCGGGAGAGAGUGUGUGAGCAUGUGUGAGAGACCACCGAUGGAGAGUGAAACUACACGUAAAAGACUGCUCUACACAUUGAUUAAAGAUAUAAAUUGUAUCCAAAUAUUAGGAUGGGAUCAUGAUAUUUGCAAUUCGCGUAAGGAGCGGUCAUUGAUCCAUCAGACAUCUAGAUUCUAUCGAAUUUGAGCAUGUCUAUGUUAUUAUUCGACACAAUUGAUCCACAUAGUUAGUAUUUUGAACUCCAGACAAUGCAUCGCUUUAGCAAUCGAAUAUAAACGUGAGUAUAGUUCAUGUUGUGUGUGUAAAGCACAUUAUACAUACGAAAGUUACACAAUGGACAUUAUAAAUAGCUACCUAUGAACUAGCAUACAUUUGAAUUCAACUUAAGGUGGUUUAAAAAAAUCGAAUUCAACAUGAAGUCCAUUCAAUUAUUUGAAUUUGAUAUCAUGGCAUUUGUAAACCAUACCUAAAUUAUGGGGGCACCAAUCGUUGCUCUGAUUUUGUACAUAAUAGCAUAUGUAGUCGUGUACAAAAUAGAUUCAAAUUUAGCUCCUCCAUUCCAAAAUAAUCGUAGUUAUAGGAUUUUCAAGUGUCAAAUUUUCAAAAAGAAGCGGAUAAUUUAAUGAGGUUUUCAAACAUACAAGGUCAAAUAUAACGUUGUCUAUUUAGGUCAAUCCUCAUAGUUCAAGAGUACUCUAAACGUGAAUGCUUGUGUUUCAAAAUUUUGAACGAAGCGCCAAAAGAGCCUCUACUCGCCUGAAACCGCGUGAGACCAAUGUUUGGUAGUACAAGGAAAUUACUUUUCUAAUAAGUCCGACCCGUGAAACCUAUCGGCCCGACGUCCAAAGGUCUAAACCGGGGUAGGUUUGUAGCUUCAUCUAGACGCCACGCAACCGCAUCCGAAAAACAUUCAUACACAAUGGCCGCCUAAGCACACAUGCGCACGGCCGAAAUCGCUCCCGCCCACUAUUUGGGACACCUGGGAUUACCAUCCUACCCCCGACCCGCAGUAGGUCCGAAAUUUAAGAGGGGGGCAAAGUUUGUACUUUCCCCAAAAUUCAAACAAGCGCGUCCCAUCUUCUGUUCAAAAAAGCCAAAAACAAGCGCGUCCCAGACCGAAACAUGGUUCCCCCCCACCCGUCCGAUUCCCCAUUCAUACUCCGUGGGCGCCAAAACUACCUCUCCACCAGCCGCGAAACACCGGCGUCCUCCGUCCGCCACCCCAUCCCACCCAUCAACCGCCGCCCUCCUCCAUUACGCCGGAGCCGAUACCCCGACGUCGUCGUCCACCGCAACCUCAACCGCAACGCCCUCCACGGCUAGUAGUUGAAGCCGAGGCUGAGCCGUCCGUACCCGAGCCAGUCAACCACGCCGUCCUGCACCUCACCGCUGCCGCUCCAACUUCGCCACCCUCCACCACACUGGAGCUGUUCCUGCUACGCCGUCCUUCGCUGCCUCGGAUCUGCUUCCCCUCCGCCGACAUACGGCCACGGCAACACAGUCAACAAUUUGGCCAUGGGUUCGUCCAAGCCUGCACCCUCCAGAACAUCAGUUUCCCCGGUAAAAAGAAGAAGAUCGGCGCGACAUGUGGAGGUGACCACACCGGCAACCGAAAAUGGUACUCCUCUUCCCUUAUUCGUGCAAAUCUUACGUCUCUGCUUGCACGGUAUUCAUCCCACAGAAGACACUAGUUGACCGCUUCUUCUUGAUACUAGAUGUUCCUAGUAACUCGUGAUGCACAAGGUUUCUCCUCAUAUACUAUUUCACCUUAGCUAGAGGUCCGUCGCCCCCCUGAAUUUCAAUUUCUGGCCAGUUGAUUCCCAAUUAACGGAAGCAUUCCCCGGUGUAACAGGCGCUAGUACGCCUAUUACGCCGGGGAAGCAGCGCCUUGGUGUUUAUCUUAGGGGCGUGUGCGGCCUAGAGCUACUGGCGCCCGAUCUGGAGGUCGGCCGGGAUUAAAGGGAUGGCCUGGGGGUGCUGCCAAGCACGGCGGUGGUGUGAGGUCGAUGGGAGGGCGGGGCGGCGGAGGCAGGGGUCUGGGCCGGUGGUCACUGGCGGUUCGAGAAAGAUCGUCAACAGUGACUGGCGGGAGGUAGACGAAGGCCAUCUGCCCGUUCCUUAUAGAUCGGACGGUUCAUUAAAAAAUCAACUGACCUAUUUAUUUUCAGUCGACUGUUAUCUUAGAUAUGACCACAUGUGGUGGUGUGCUGGAGGAGUACCUGCAUUUCCUGUGCUCAUAUAUUACAAAAUCAUACGGAGUAGAAUCUAAUUUUGUUUGUCAUGCAAUGUUGUAGAGCUAUCAUAUGUCUCUUGUCAUUUAUUUUUCAGCCACCUGCUAUCUGCUACUUUUACAGUGCACUAGUUCUGCACACACUUCACCCUUACUCUCACUAUUGUGUUUUUAUGCAAGGGUAUUUCAGACUCUGCUGCCAUGAGAGAAGCCAAAAAGAAAAGAGAGAAGUCGCUCCAGCUUCGUAUGCGGGUAGGCAAGACACGUUACAACGCUAUAAAGGGUGCAGUGUCAGCAGAUGGAGACGGUAAACGUAGCUCUGGAGUUGAUGACCUCGCUCGCAAUGAACCACCAUCCCAGGUGCUUGCUUUAACUUCACGGUGUCAUAUGUGGUUGCAUGUUCCAUAUGGUGUCUAGCUUGUAUUCGAAAGGCCGAAGUCGGUAAGAUAAGGAAAGAUAUUUUUUACAUGAACCACCAUCCCGUGAGCACCAGAAGACAAAUAGCUAGUCAGGGCAUUGGCCGAGCCAGUGACAAGCCCAGCAAAGAUAGGCAUCACCUGGAAGCCAACUAAAAAGCUGCGAUGGUGGCGAAGCAGCCCACCUCCCACCAGGCUCUCAGGUCCUAGAUGAUCAUGCUCACCACUCCAGCCGGAUGUCUAGCUUGUAUUGCUUCCAAUUUGGUUAAAUUGCAUCUGCUUAGCUUACACAUUAUACCUUUGAAUAUGACAUGCCUUUCUAUUUUUGGUACAUACUAGUACAUCUGUGUAUUAACCAUGUUCUUACAUCAAACUAAUGUUUUUGUGUAUCCCUCAUCAAUCACUUAUGACGAGGCAGGUAGGCAAGGGGACUACUCCUCAUUUAAAGAAUGCAGCGUCAGCCUCCUGACAUGAUUCUCAAGAAACAGAAAUGCUAGAUGAAGAUAGUGAACGUAGCUCUGUAGUUGAUUACAGCAUUUCCCCUACACUAGCAUCGCAGGUGUUUGCUCUAACUUGGCAGCGUGAUAUGUGGUUGCAUGUUGCAUAUGGUGUCUAGAUUGUAAUUCUUCCAAUCUGGUUAAACUACAUGUGCUAGUCUGCUUAGCUUAUACAUUAUACCUGUUAAUGUGACAUGCCUUCCUGUAUUUAGUACAUAGUACAUCUGUCUAUUAAGCAUGUCCUUACAUAAAACUAUUUUUUUUGUAUCCCGCAUCAAUCAACAUGACGAGACACCUUUAGUAUAUGCAGUGCGAUAUUAGUUGCAUCUUUCAUAUGAUUUAUAGCAUGCGCUGCUUCUAAUUUGUUGAAAUUCCAUUUAUGAUGGGACACUUUUAACUUGGCAGAGUCAUAUUGGUUGCAUCUUUCAUGUGGUGUCUAGCUUGCAUUGCUUCUUAUUUGCUGGAAUGGUUUCUGCUUAGUUUACACAAACAGUUGUGAACAUGUCAUGCCGUCCUGUUUUUCGUACAUAUUCCAUCCUGGUAUCAUGUGUUUGCCUUACAUCAAAGUAGUGAUUGUCAGUAUCAUGCAUGAAUGAGUUCUGAAGAGAGAAUUUUAUUGCUUUUUCUUGUCGGUUUUACUUGACAAUUCAAAAUCAAUAAAGCGGAAGGAAGUUAGCAAGGCAGCGGAUAAAGGUGCUCCUUCCGAACGGAGGGCCUCUACAGUUUCUACUCCUCCACACCCCCAAGAUGAUUUCCAAGACAACACAUGCAUAGACACUCAACAAAGCUGUGUUUAUGAUGAGCACGUCUCCCCUAGUGCAGCAUCACCGGUGCUCCCUCUAACUUGGCACUGUUAUAUGUGGUUGCAUGUUAUGUGUGAUGUCUAGCUUGUAUUGCUUCUAAUUUUGUUGAAUUCCAUCUGCUUACUUUACACAUUAUACUUGAAUAAGACACGUGUUCCUAUUUCUAGAACAUACAAUAUCUGUCUAUCACACCAUGUUCUUACAUCAAAUUACCACUGUUGUGUAACCUGCAACAAUCACUUAUUAUAAGACACGUUUGACUUUGGAUGUGAUAUAGGUUACAUCUCACAUUCUUUUCUAGCUUGUACUACUAAUUUGUUGAAAUGGCACUUAUGACGAGACAGUUUUAACUUGGUAGAGUGAUAUUCGUUGCAUCUUUCAUAUGGUGUCUAGCUUUCAUUGCUUCUAAUUUGUUGAAAUGCCUUCUCCUUAGUUUACACAUCAUAAGCUGUGAAUAUGCAAUGCUGUGAAUAUGCAAUGGCACUAAUGACGAGAGACCUCUAACAUGGUAGUGUGAUGUUGUUUGCAUCUUCCAUAUGAUUUAUUUCUUGUACUGCUUCACAUUUGUUUAAACGCCAUUUGUGACGCCCCCGGUUCAAUCGUACACUAAUCAUGCACGCAAACGUGUACGAUCAAGAUCAGGGACUCACGGGAAGAUAUCACAACACAACUCUAAAACAUAAAUAAGUCAUACAAGCAUCAUAAUACAAGCCAGGGGCCUCGAGGGCUCGAAUACAAGUGCUCGAUCAUAGACGAGUCAGCGGAAGCAACAAUAUCUGAGUACAGACAUAAGUUAAACAAGUCUGCCUUAAGAAGGCUAGCACAAACUGGGAUACAGAUCGAAAGAGGCGCAUGCCUCCUGCCUGGGAUCCUCCUAAACUACUCCUGGUCGUCGUCAGCGGCCUGAACGUAGUAGUAGGCACCUCCGGUGUAGUAGGAGUCAUCGUCGACGGUGGCGUCUGGCUCCUGGGCUCCGGCAUCUGGUUGCGACAACCAGGUAGAAGGGAAAGGGGGAAAAGAGGAGAAAGGCAACCGUGAGUACUCAUCCAAAGUACUCGCAAGCAAGGAGCUACACUACAUAUGCAUGGGUAUAUGUGUAAAGGGCCAUAUCGGUGGACUGAACUGCAGAAUGCCAGAAUAAGAGGGGGAUAGGUAAUCCUGUCGAAGACUACGCUUCUGGCCACCUCCAUCUUUCAGCAUGUAGAAGAGAGUAGAUGGUAAGUUCACCAAGUAGCAUCGUAUAGCAUAAUCCUACCCGGCGAUCCCCUCGUCGUCGCCCUGUUAGAGAGCGAUCACCGGGUUAUAUCUGGCACCUGGAAGGGUGUGUUUUAUUAAGUAUCCGGUUCUAGUUGCCAUAAGGUCAAGGUACAACUCCGGGUCGUCCUUUUACCAAGGGACACGGCUAUUCGAAUAGAUAAACUUAACUGCAGGGGUGCACCACAUAACCCAACACGCUCGAUCCCAUUUGGCCGGACACACUUUCCUGGGUCAUGCCCGGCCUCGGAAGAUCAACACGUCGCAGCCCCGCCUAGGCUCAACAGAGAGGUCAGCACGCCGGUCUAAAUCCUAUGCGCGCAGGGGUCUGGGCCCAUCGCCCAUUGCACACCUACACGUUGCGUGCGCGGCCGGAAGCAAACCUAGCCCCCUUAAUACAAGCGCGAGCUUACGGUCCAAUGCGGCGCGCGCCACUCAGUCGCUGACGUCAAAAAGAGCUUCGGCUGAUAUCACGACGCCGAGUGCCCAUAACUGUUCCCGCAUAGUUGGUUAGUGCGUCUAGACCAAAUGGCCAGACUCAGAUCAAAUACCAAGAUCUCGUUAAGCGUGUUAAGUAUCCGCGAACGCCGACCAGGGCCGGGCCCACCUCUCUCCUAGGUGAUCUCAACCUGCCCUGUCGCUCCGCCACAAAGUAAUAGUCGGGGGCCGUCAGGAACCCAGGCCCACCUCUACCAGGAUGGAGCCACCUGUCCUUUCAACCCCCUCAUCAGAAUCACUUGCGGGUACUCAACGAGCUGGCCCGACUUUAGUCACCACAUGUGUCAUGUAUAUAAAGUAUAUAGUAUAUACCCGUGAUCACCUCCCGAAGUGAUCACGGCCCAGUAGUAUAGCAUGGCAGACGGACAAGAGUGUAGGGCCACUGAUGGAACACUACCAUCCUAUACUAAGCAGUAGGAUAGCAGGUAAGAGUAACAAUUGUAGCAACAAUGACAGGCUAUGCAUCAGUAUAGGAUUAACCGAAAGCAGUAACAUGCUACACUACUCUAAUGCAAGCAGUAUAGAGAAGGAAUAGGCGAUGUCUGGUGAUCAAGGGGGGCUUGCCUGGAAGCUCCGCUGAAAGGGAAGAAGGGUCGUCGGUGACGUAGUCGAUCACAGGGACAUCAACAGCGGUCUCGGGGUCUACCGGAGAGAAGAGGGGGAAGAAACAGUAAAUACAUAGCAAGCAAGAGCAUAACAGGACAACAGGCAGAGCUAGACGUGUUCUAACGCGGUGCUACACGAUACCGACGAAGGGGGAUAACAUCCAGGAAUGCUUUCCGAAAGUUUGGCAUUUUUGGACAGACGAACCGGAGGGGGACGGUUGCAGGUUCGCUAUGCUAGGGACGUGUGGUGGAUGAAUGGACCGCGUAUUCAGAUUCGGCUCGUCGUUCUGAGCAACUUUCAUGUACAAAGUAUUUUCGUCUGACCUACGGUUUAUUUUAUAUUAAUUUCCAAAGAUUUAGCCAUGUUCUGAAAUUAUUAAAUAACUAAUUCGAAAAAUAAACAUAAAAGAGCUGGGUGCACCCGGUGCAGUGCACCCAGCAGUGCACCAGGGGCUGACAGGUGGGUGAGGUGGCCCAGUUGACCCAGUCAACAAAGACUGGUCAAGAGAGUGAAUAGUGCAUGCGGGUCCCGCAUGUCAAUGUCGCAUGUGUUAUUAGUUUUAACAUCUUUUAGCUAGCAGCAGGGCCCGUAUUUAAUAGACACAUUAGGUUUCCUAGUUAAGCCUAAAUUAAAUUAAGUUAAUUAAGUAAGUAAUUAUUAUUUAUACAUUUUCUGUUCUCUUUUUUUUGGCGUGGGGCCCGUUCGACAGUGUCACAGAGGCCUUAGCGGGGCGGGCGCUGGUUGCGGGCGCCCGAAGGGACGAACCCAGGCGCGCGGGCGAAGGCCGCCGAGGUGCGGCGAGGCACCGGCCAGGGGAAGCGCGGGAGGCGCGGUGUGGAGGAGGCCCGCGGGCGGCAGUAGGUGGCGAGGAGCAGCAGGGCAAGGCCGCAGGCGCGGCCGGCAGCGGGCAGCAUCGCCGGUAGGGGCGGGCGCACGCAUGGGGCGCAGCCCAGGCGUAGCCGGUGCACGGACAAGCGGGGCCACGGGCGCAUGGGGGCGCGUCAACGGUCGCAACGACCGCGACGAGGGCGCACGACGACUGCGGCGUCGGUGAGAAGAACGUGCGGCGUGGACAACAGCCUAAGCCGGUGAAUCGAGGAGAGGGAAGAGGAGGACGGACGGCGGCUCACCCCCGUUGCAGGGGAACACCGGCGAGGCUCGGUGGAGCCGCGGUUGAGGAGGAGGUCGAGGACGGCGCGGGUGAUGAGGACGAGGCGGCGGGACAACAUCGGGGCGAGGUGGCCUCGGUGAUCCGGCGACAUCACGCCGUCGGGGAGGCGGGGUCCCGAUCUAGAACGAGGGGGCGAUGACGUCCGGUGAGGACCGGCGGCGGCGCGGGUGCAAGGCGUCGGGGGCGGCGGUUGCCACCGACGGGAUCCGCGCGGGGGAGGGAGAGAGGUGGGUGAGAUCGAGGGGAGUGGGGGAGCGAGUGGUGGAAGUGGGGGUGUGGUGGUGGAUCGGGCUAGGGUUCGAGGAGGCGUGGGGGGUUAAGCGGGGAGAGGUGGGCCGGCCGGGAUGGGCUGGCCGACUAGGCCGGCCAGUUGGCUAACUGGGCCCGUUGGCCCGGGGGUUCGUUUUCCUGUUUUUUUACAUUUUUAUAUUCUGUUUAUUUAAUCUUUCAAAUUGUUUUAGUUUUGUAAAUCAUAUAGUUAGCACCUAAAUUAGUAUUACUAAUUAGGCCACUGCCAUAAUUAUUUUGGCACACUAGUAAUUUAGUUAUAUUAUUAUAACUUUAUAAAAGGAAUUAAAUUAAUUGUUUUGCCCUAAGCUUUGGUUAUUUUAGUGAAUUUAAAUAUUAUAAGAAAUGUUGGUUUCUCCACCAUUAUUACUCAUGAAUUAUUCGGCAACACCCCAACAUUACAGUUUUAAUAUUUGAAAAUAUUUUAUUGUUUGCUUGAUUUUGAAUUUGAACUCGAACCGGUUUCGAACUAACGCGAGAUUAGCAACAGUAAUCUAGGUGACGUGGCAUCAUUAACGUGGGAUUACUAUAGCCUAAUUAUUCGGGCGUCACAAUUCGCCUCCACUACAAGAAAUCUCGUCCCGAGAUUUAAGAGGUAGUGAAAGGGGGGGAAGGUUUACUUACGAAAUUCUAACGGAUCUUCUCGGCCUUGGUUACUCUUCUCGAAGAGGUCGAUCCAUUAAGUUGAUGCCUUCAUUUCUCUUCUCCAGGUCAUUAUGAUGAAGUUGUCGUCCUUCCUUCAGGAUCUUCACCAUACUUACGAAAGGUUAAGAGGGGAAAACUCUAUAAGGACGGAUUCUAACAGGAUUGAGCAUCAGACGGUUAACUCGGGGGAAGAAGCAUAAGUAUCUCUCGAAUUGAAACUUAAGAAGAUAUCGAGAGCAAAGUAAGAAGGUACCAUGAGAAGUUUCAAAUGGAUAGGUAAUGGUUCGAUGUCUGAAACCAAGUGCGAAAGGGGUCCAGAGCAACGAGAUUAAGUAUUGCGUCUGUUACGAUAAUAGAUCACUAGGAAGGUGGCCCGUGAAUUACAUACGAGGCCACGCGCGAGGAACAACCUUGGGAACAGGGGGUGUACAGGAGAGUCAGGUUUCGAUCCUGUGGAACUGUGGGUUAUGGGCCCACAAUGUGGGUUAAAAUUAGAAAGGGGGCUGACAUGUUGCACUGUCAUGAUAGCAAGGCAUGUCGGAGGGUAGCCUGCUAGCUAUGUUGGCAACAACGUUGGUACCGAGGGCGAGGGACGAAGAGAACCAUUUUCCUGCUCGUUGAACGAGGCGGACCAAUAGGCAAGGUUCUCGUCCAUCGGUGGCUAUCGGAAUGUCAUCAACAAUAGUAACAGGGUCUUAUUGACACAGUAGUACACCGAGGUGUUUACAUAAGCAGUGAAUUAUUACUGCUUAGAUCAUAUAGAUCACAAGAAAGAUUAAAUAAAAUAAUGGAAAGGAAAAGGGUGAUCAUCAGAUUAAACAGAACAAUGGAAAGGAAAAUGUGUUUAAACACAUAUUUCAAGGGUAUAUCCUUCCCAAGGACAAGCUGAGCAUGAUAUCCAUGACAGGAUGUAAUGUAGAAAACUCUUUAGGUAGGGGAGAGAAAUUUCAUGACAUUACCCAUACAACGGUGUUUGGAUAAUUGAGCAAGAAUCAUUUAGCAUUGGGCUUCAAAUGUUCUUGUAAAAAAAUCGGAGUACCACAGACAUGCUUCGAGAUAGCAUUGGCACGGUCUUCAAGCAAAGGUCAGACUUUGGAUACAAAGGAUCCAUCAGGAAGAACUUGUAGAAUAAGUUUUACAAUUUCCUCAUGGAAGAAUGGAUAACCUUGCUAGAAGGAAGAACUAUAACAAUAGGUCCUCUGGUCAAGUGUGCUAGGCAUGACAUCACCUUACCGGGUCAUAUAAAGACCAAUGUUAUAACUCUUGAAAAUAUGCUCCAACCAUCAUAGCUGAUCGAGAUUCAGAUCUGAUCGGUGUUAGGAAACCUCAGACUCAGGAUGCCGGAGAAGAAAAGGUGCCAGCCAAAUUGACGGGAUGACACUGUAAGAUUCUCAGGAAAUGAACUAUGAAGUGAUUUCCGUUAACAAGAGUUCAUCAUUAACCCAAGGAGAGGACAAGGAGGUGGCUGAUGGGCUAAGGACAAUUCAUCGAGAUUUCCAAAAGAUGGAUUUCCACAAAUAUGUGAACAAGGAGAUAACACUUGUCAAUUCAAAUGAUAUAAUGUUGUAUGCUCUAGGAAAACAUACACCAUCAAUCAUUAGUCGAAAGGUGUGCCCGGAAUAUGACCUUAGGCAGCAAGAUCAAUGUUAGAGUGACGAUUCAAUAACCAACAGUCUAAGAACGAACUGUCGAUCGUUAACUUCAAAGCAAUAGGGUUGCUAGAAGUAUAGAACUCAAACAACAUCGUUAGCAUAUUGGUAUCCUAGUUAAAAACAACACGGGGACCAAGGAAGAAUGGUGAUGGUGAGAAGUAUCAUCAUACCGAGAAUUUCUAAGAGGUGGAGAAAUGCUCACAACAUUCUUGACAUCAAAGAUGGUAAUACUCCACGGUAGAACAUAACAUAAGUUGGAUAGCAAGGAACUCAAGGUACAACACAAAACAAGAACAAGUUUUUGUGUUGGGGGGGAAUGCAAUAAUGUUGUCGAUGAUAACCCAAACCAUCGAGGGCAAAGGAUGGUAUUUCUCAUCAAAAUUCGAUAGAUCUCUUGGAAGAGCUCAGAAUGUUGAUGAUAUUCACGACACAUUUGUCGCGAGAUUACCUAAAGAUGUAAUCGAUCGGCGAUGACAUCAAGUCAAAGGAAUGGUGAAGCGAAAGGUUAUUGGAACCAAGGGUAUGACAUAAACUCGAAACUAAGCUCGCUGUUCAAGGCGAAAUGAUAUGACGAGGAGGAUCGACGUAAGGUUAGUUCAUCAUCGAAAAUUGUGCUCCGGGAAGAAGGACCAGGUAGCACAAUUAAAAUUUAGCAUGGUAAUGAUAUAGCCGAUCAGGCUAGGGAUGUCGUGAUCGAGUACAAACUCGUAAGCAAAGAAGAUUACUAAGAGUUGUUUAAUCGCGAUGCGGACUCGAUUCAGUUAUCGAUGUCCUUGAGUGUUUAAUAACUCGAAGCCCUUGAAAAUUUGGAAUCAAUGAGAAUGUAGCACUUGAUGGAGAACUCAUAAGAAGUUAUGCAGUUCCGUGAUAAUCUCGAGAUACCAUGGGGGUAAUACUCGACGACAAACCAAAGUAGAGGUUGGACUGGGGUAUUGCUCUGCAGAAGACAAGUGCUUAAACUUGUAUGAGAAAUGGUAUUUAAAGGAGAAAAUGGUCCGAACCAUGAUUGCAAAAGGCCAGAUCCCAGAUAUAAGAUGAACUUAUACCAAGGGAAUAAUUAAUUUAAGCGAAUAUUUUAAUGAUAAGAUCUACAUCGUGUCCAUGGGCAUGAACACAAAGUUUAAGGUCGACUCCCACUUCUCUAAUGCAUAACCUUUCAUUCACUUCUCAUUUUCGAAGAAGUUGUAAUGUUGAAUUUUAUCUAGAAAAAUACCAGAAGAGUAUGACUCAUGAAAACUUUCGAGGUCACACAUAUUAAGGAAGGCCUUGGUUCAACCCAUCGGGGCAUCGUGGAAACAUAUAUCACAAACUUCAGGGGUAAAUAACUCAAGCUCGAUAGUAGAGCAUGGGUGACAAAACGAGAGGAUACAAUUUACUGAAGGCAUUGUGUAUCAAGGAAAGAACUUCUCGAGGUUUUUGUAUACGAAGACACUGUCGGAUGAUAUUCCAACAAAGGAUCCGACGGUCCAUAGCGGAGCUGAUGUGAGUAUCGGCACACAACCAGAGGAAGAAACAAUGUGAAGGCAUUGGAUUAUAGAAGCAACUGACUAAUUCAAAGCUCACAUGUAAAGGAAUUAUAGUUUCCAAAUCAAAGGAUCAGAAGCAAAUGCUCUGCUUAAGGAUGGAUAACUUGAGUAAGCUUAGGGGUACAAACGACGACAAUUUAUUUGGUCGAGAUCCAGCUCAUGUUAAAAAUGAUGUCUGAGCCGUAAGGAUGAAUUCUAGGAUAUGAUUGAGGAUUGCGAGCAUUCGCAACAUAUUGAAUCAAUGAACUCAAAAUGAUAUUUGACAAAGGAUGCCAAUAAGAUUACCAGACUUAUGGGAUUAACCAGAAUGCAAGCAAGCAAGAAUUUCAAGAGCAAGAGGAUGCUCAGGAAUUUUGGAAGAUCCAAUGGUAUUUCGAAAACUUUUGUGAAACACAUGAACAACUGGGAAAGAGCGGAUACUCGAUAAGCGCGAGGAAUUAUCCGUAAGGGAAUUCAUGAGGCAAGAACUGUAUAGCAGUAAGCUCAAAGGAUUCUUGGAACAACGGAGAGCGGUUCGGGGCAUCUUGUAUGAACAAGAUCAACUUGGAAUAAAAUUAAGAACAACGGGUGUAAGUAUUUAUCCAUAGGGAUAGAUCAGUGGUAGGGAAUUGCAAAAGCAACGAGCACAAAGUCUCGAGAACAUCGGAGAGUAUCUUCGAAAUCCUUCGGUGCACCAAGCAAUCAUCUGGAGUGAGGGGCUCUCCGGGAGGAAGUAGUUACGAGAACCUAGAGUCAGAGUUAGUAAAAUCAUUCCACCCGAAUAGAAGAGAGGUCAGAGUCCCAGAGUAUAGGUCGAGGAAUAAAAGAUCCUAAUACCACCCAAUGGCGACGUGGGCCCGUAAGCCACACAGCCAUGUUAGUAAAAGUUUAUUUAAUGACUAGACUCGACUUCGGCCAAGGAGUUGGAAAGGGGAUUCCUACAGGCAGUUGGCUCUGAUACCAACUUGUGACGCCCCCGAUUCAAUCGUACACUAAUCAUGCACGCAAACGUGUACGAUCAAGAUCAGGGACUCAUGGGAAGAUAUCACAACACAACUCUAAAACAUAAAUAAGUCAUACAAGCAUCAUAAUACAAGCCAGGGGCCUCGAGGGCUCGAAUACAAGUGCUCGAUCAUAGAUGAGUCAGCGGAAGCAACAAUAUCUGAGUACAGACAUAAGUUAAACAAGUCUGCCUUAAGAAGGCUAGCACAAACUGGGAUACAGAUCGAAAGAGGCGCAGGCCUCCUGCCUGGGAUCCUCCUAAACUACUCCUGGUCGUCGUCAGCGGCCUGAACGUAGUAGUAGGCACCUCCGGUGUAGUAGGAGUCGUCGUCGACGGUGGCGUCUGGCUCCUGGGCUCCGGCAUCUGGUUGCGACAACCAGGUAGAAGGGAAAGGGGGAAAAGAGGGAGAAAGGCAACCGUGAGUACUCAUCCAAAGUACUCGCAAGCAAGGAGCUACACUACAUAUGCAUGGGUAUAUGUGUAAAGGGCCAUAUCGGUGGACUGAACUGCAGAAUACCAGAAUAAGAGGGGGAUAGCUAAUCCUGUCGAAGACUACGCUUCUGGCCACCUCCAUCUUUCAGCAUGUAGAAGAGAGUAGAUGGUAACUUCACCAAGUAGCAUCGUAUAGCAUAAUCCUACCCGGCGAUCCCCUCCUCGUCGCCCUGUUAGAGAGCGAUCACCGGGUUAUAUCUGGCACUUGGAAGGGUGUGUUUUAUUAAGUAUCCGGUUCUAGUUGUCAUAAGGUCAAGGUACAACUCCGGGUCGUCCUUUUACCGAGGGACACAGCUAUUCGAAUAGAUAAACUUCCCUGUAGGGGUGCACCACAUAACCCAACACGCUCUAUCCCAUUUGGCCGGACACACUUUCCUGGGUCAUGCCUGGCCUUGGAAGAUCAACACGUCGCAGCCCCACCUAGGCUCAACAGAGAGGUCAGCACGCCGGUCUAAAUCCUAUGCACGCAGGGGUCUGGGCCCAUCGCCCAUUGCACAGCUGCACGUUGCGUACGCGGCCGGAAGCAGACCUAGCCCCCUUAAUACAAGCGCGAGCUUACGGUCCAAUGCGGUGCGCGCCACUCAGUCGCUGACGUCAAAAAGAGCUUCGGCUGAUACCACGACGCCGAGUGCCCAUAACUGUUCCCGCGUAGUUGGUUAGUGCGUAUAGACCAAAUGGCCAGACUCAGAUCAAAUACCAAGAUCUCGUUAAGCGUGUUAAGUAUCCGCGAACGCCGACCAGGGCCAGGCCCACCUCUCUCCUAGGUGGUCUCAACCUGCCCUGUCGCUCUGCCACAAAGUAACAGUCGGGUGCCGUUAGGAACCCAGGCCCACCUCUACCGGGAUGGAGCCACUUGUCCUUUCAGCCCCCUCAUCAGAAUCACUUGCGGGUACUCAAUGAGCUGACCCGACUUUAGUCACCACAUGUGUCAUGUAUAUAAAGUAUAUAGUAUAUACCCGUGAUCACCUCCCGAAGUGAUCACGGCCCAGUAGUAUAGCAUGGCAGACGGACAAGAGUGUAGGGCCACUGAUGGAACACUAGCAUCCUAUACUAAGCAGUAGGAUAGCAGGUAAGGGUAACAACUGUAGCAACAAUGACAGGCUAUGCAUCAGUAUAGGAUUAACCGAAAGCAGUAACAUGCUACACUACUCUAAUGCAAGCAGUAUAGAGAAGGAAUAGGCGAUAUCUGGUGAUCAAGGGGGGGGCUUGCCUGGAAGCUCCGCUGAAAGGGAAGAAGGGUCGUCGGUGACGUAGUCGAUCACAGGGACAUCAACAGCGGUCUCGGAGUCUACCGGAGAGAAGAGGGGGAAGAAACAGUAAAUACAUAGCAAGCAAGAGCAUAACAGGAUAACAGGCAGAGCUAGACGUGUUCUAACGCGGUGCUACACGAUACCGACGAAGGGGGAUAACAUCCGGGAAUGCUUUUCGAAAGUUUGGCAUUUUCGGACAGACGAACCGGAGGGGGGACGGUUGUAGGUUCGCUAUGCUAGGGACGUGUGGUGGACGAACGGACCGCGUAUUCAGAUUCGUCUCGUCGUUCUGAGCAACUUUCAUGUACAAAGUAUUUUCGUCUGACCUACGGUUUAUUUUAUAUUAAUUUCCAAAGAUUUAGCCAUGUUCUGAAAUUAUUAAAUGACUAAUUCGAAAAAUAAACAUAAAAGAGUUGGGUGCACCCGGUGCAGUGCACCCAGCAGUGCACCAGGGGCUGACAGGUGGGUUAGGUGGCCCAGUUGACCCAGUCAACAAAGACUGGUCAAGAGAGUGAAUAGUGCAUGCGGGUCCCGCAUGUCAAUGUCACAUGUGUUAUUUUAGUUUUAACAUCUUUUAGUUAGCAGCAGGGCCCGUAUGUAAUAGACACAUUAGGUUAGUUACCUAGUUAAGCCUAAAUUAAAUUAAGUUAAUUAAGUAAUUAUUAUUUAUACAUUUUCUGUUCUCUUUUUUUUGGCUUGCGGCCCAUUCGGUAGUGUCACAGAGGCCUUAGCGGGGCAGGCGCUGGAUGCGGGAGCCCGAAGGGACGAACCCAGGCGCGCGGGCGAAGGCCGCCGAGGCGCGGCGAGGCGCCGGCCAGGGCAAGCGCGGGAGGCGCGGCGUGGAGGAGGCCCGCAGGCGGCAGUAGGUGGCGAGGAGCAGCAGGGCAAGGCCGCACGCGCGGCCGGCAGCGGGCAGCAUCGCCGGUAGGGGCGGGCGCACGCAGGGGGCGCAGCCCAGGCGUAGCCGGUGCACGGACAAGCGGGGCCACGGGCGCGUCAACGGUCGCGACGAGCGCGCACGACGACUGCGGCGUCGGUGAGAAGAACGGGCGGCGUGGACAACAGCCUAAGCCGGAGAAUCAAGGAGAGGGAAGAGGAGGACGGACGGCGGCUCACCCCCGUUGCAGGGGAACACCGGCAAGGCUCGGUGGAGCCGCGGUUGAGGAGGAGAUCGAGGACGGUGAGGGUGAUGAGGACGAGGCGGCGGGACAACAUCGGGGCGAGGUGGCCUCGGUGAUCCGGCGACGUCACGCCGUCGGGGAGGCGGGGUCCCGAUCUAGAACGAUGGGGCGAUGACGUCCGGUGAGGACCGGCGGCGGCGCGGGUGCAAGGCGUCGGGGGCGGCGGUUGCCACCGACGGGAUCCGCGCGGGGGAGGGAGAGAGAGGUGGGUGAGAUCGAGGGGAGUGGGGGAGCGAGUGGUGGAAGUGGGGGUGUGGUGGUGGAUCGGGCUAGGGUUCGAGGAGGCGUGGGGGGUUAAGCGGGGAGAGGUGGGCCGGCCGGGAUGGGCUGGCCGACUGGGCCGGCCAGUUGGCUAACUGGGCCGGUUGGCCCGGGGGUUCGUUUUCCUUUUUUUACAUUUUUAUAUUAUGUUUAUUUAAUCUUUCAAAUUGUUUUAGUUUUGUAAAUCAUAUAGUUAGCACCUAAAUUAGUAUUACUAAUUAGGCCACUGCCAUAAUUAUUUUGGCACACUAGUAAUUUAGUUAUAUUAUUAUAACUUUAUAAAAGGAAUUAAAUUAAUUGUUUUGCCCUAAGCUUUGGUUAUUUUAGUGAAUUUAAAUAUUAUAAGUAAUGUUGGUUUCUCCACCAUUAUUACUCAUGAAUUAUUCGGCAACACCCCAACAUUACAGUUUUAAUAUUUGAAAAUAUUUUAUUGUUUGCUUGAUUUUGAAUUUGAACUCAAACCGGUUUCGAACUAACGCGAGAUUAGCAACAGUAAUCGAGGUGACGUGGCAUCAUUAACGUGGGAUUACUGUAGCCUAAUUAUCCGGGCGUCACACCAUUUAUGAUGAGACACUGUUAACUUGGCAGAGCCAUCUUUGUAGCAUCUUUCAUAUGGUGUCUACCUUCCAUUGCAUUGCUUCUAAUUUGGUGAAAUGUUUUCUUCUUAGUUUACACAUCAUAGUUCUGGUUAUCUCUUCCGUCCUGUUUUCAUACAUAUUACAUCCUCCUAUCAUGUGGUUGUCUAACAUCAAAGUUCAGUUCGUCUGCAUCAUGCAUCAAUUUGUUCUGAAGAACUAAAUUUUUAUUCGUUUUUCUUGUCGGCUUGACUUAACAUGGCACAGAGAAAGAGGAAGAAACACAGAAUGGCAGGGAAUGAGAAGCGGAUGAAUCCUGCAGAUUCUGCUGGUAUUGAUGGUGCAAUAGAAGGUCAAAGUCCAGCGGAAAAUUCUACAAACACGGCAUCCCAUGCUACACGAGUUGCAAAAAAAGCCAAACAGAAACAAAUAGCUGCUACCAAACAAGCAGAGACAACCCUAGUUCUUGCAACACCUACCACAGUACUACCAGCUGCACGACUUACUCGUGCGUCAACUGAGCUAGCAGCACGUUCCCAAGCUCCCUUGCCACCUGACACUACUUCCCAAGCACUCUUGACACAAGACGAGUUGGCAAUAUCAGAUGAACCUUGUGAGCUUCAACAGCAAGAAGGUAGUCGCUGGAGUCAAGUUACAAUUGCAUGCUUCUUUAUAUGUAGUCUCACAGUUUGAUGUACACUAACACUUCCUAUGUUCGUUGUUGGACUAGCACCUAGGCGCAAGAGGAAACAAACAUCAGGGAUAAUGCUCGAUAGGUUAACUAAAUCUAGAGGAGGAAGAAUGGAGAUCUGUUUUGAGGUAGGUUUAAAAAGGCCACGUGAUGCUACAGAGUCAGCCAAAUUAGUAUCAGAGGCAGCGGUUGCCGUUAGGUGUCAUGUACGUAUUCUCCCAACAUGGAUUCAGUACAGGAAUGUCAAAGACGAAACCCAGUUCAACACCUUCCUCGACCAUUUAUCUGUAAGUAUGGUUAUGUAUGGAAACUAGUAAUAUCGUCUUGCUCUGUCCCAUACUUUCUAGGUUGCUGAUAAUUAGACUCCCAUAAUUUUCAACAGAUGAGGUUCAAGUUGGAUAGCCAAGAUGAUGCAACCAGACAAGCUUGCACCCAUGUUUUCAAGUCUGCUCUGCGACAGUAUCGGUAUAACUUGAGGAAAACUCACUUUGAAGGCAAGGCUAACAGUGAACUUUCCCAAACAUCUCUAGUGGAAAAUAUAUCGGAUGAAGACUGGAGGGGCCUUGUUAAACACUGCUCUGAUCCGAAGUAUCUGGUACAUUAUAUAUUUGUGAUCAGAUCACAUGUUGAAGUCCUAUUUACGCAUGUGCCACACAAAUCUAUCUUCUUGUAGGUGAACUGUUCAAAGAACAAGGCCAACCGUACGAAAGUGAAAUUCCAACAGACGACAGGAUCUCGUAGCUAUAUUGCACACUGCGAGGCUCUUGUAAUUAGCUGAUGUUUCACUCUUUUCGCUGUACCAUAUUAUCAGAUCUAUAUUGACUUGUUCGAAAUGCAUAGGAAAGCCCGCAAGGACCAAAAAGUACCUGAACCAAAUGCUGUGGAAAUCUUCAAGGACUGUCACACCAGCAAGAAGAAGGGCAUGACUACACCAGUCAAAGCCGCUGUUGUAAGUCCUUAAUCCUCAUGCCUUUUAACUACUACUUACUCUGACUUGUGCCUUGAACUGCAUGGUUUGCAGCCAAUGUCUAUUACUCUUUUCAAUUUUAUACACAAUUGUCUUAGCGUAUCAUUGCACCUUACAAGGUUUAAAAGAGAGGAGUGAUGUUCCUUUGAUCUUGAUCCGUAAUCUAGUUCCGUGCUGGACUUGCCCACACAACGUUACAAUUGCCUGUUUGUCUGUUCUCAGUUGUUUUGUGAUAUGAAUGAUGUCAUACUAUGCUUACCGUAUUAUAAACUUUGUCUCUUUAUCCUUAGCCCUCAAUACAAUGUGAAGAAAUAGACAAUACAUUAGCGAUGGUACAUGGUCAUAUGUUUGGAACCUAGUUUUAUUAUGUACUUUGCAAUAAAAUACAACUAAUAUUUUACAUGGGUUCACCAGAAUAAGUUCUGUAUAUAUACCAAAGCUAUUUUCUUUGGUUUUGCUGCCUCCUUAAUAUCUUCUGUUCUGGUACUACUAAUGUAAAACCUCAACUUUUCAGCGAGCUAUGGAAAAAAUGGUGGAACCGCCACCUUCUGAAGGUGGCGAGGCAACUAUAACCGCAAUGUCAGCUCUUGCUGCAGUGGGUCAGUACCUGUCCACUAACAGUGCCAAAAGCACGUUCCUGCGUAAUGCUGGGUUGGUUGUAAAGGCAAUAUCAUCCAAACUGCCUCAUGAUCAAGAUAUGCAAGCUCAAAGCAAUGUUGUAUCUGCGCUCCAGACACAAGUCCAUUCCCUAACAGAGACCCUUUGUGAAACAAGGAGAAACAUUGCUCAAUGUCGUCAAGAUAUGCAUGGUUUUCAAACCAGACUAUCAGACAUUUGCUAUGUUGUUCAGGAGCCUAGGGGAAAUGAAGGCGAGGGUUAUGGUGCUCCAUCGGACAAUACAGCAUGAAAACGUAACAGUCAGGUCAAAUGAACUGAGCUUCUGAACUUCUGGUGGUGCAUUUAUCUGCUAGACUGUUAAGUUUUAUGUCAACCUUCCUUUUGUUAUAUAGUUGUAAUUUGUUUUGGUGCGAUACAAAAUUUAUUCUUAACGUGCAGCCACCGGCUGAAGAAAACAGCAAGCCAUUUUUGUAUAGUGUAGGGUGUUCCCUAUAUUUGCACUGGUGGUGAUCUUUGAUGCCGAGUGGAUGUAAUCUGUGCAAUCGCCUUAAUAGCCUAGCGUUAGUUUCGGCCUUAUUUAUUUCCUAGUCUUCUUUUUCCCUGGUUUGCUAGUGGCCGCAACUACCAUGGGCCAUAUACGGGCCGUAGGAUCCAUGGGUCUCCUACGGGCCGUCGAUAAAUGGGCCUGUAAUCGGGGGCCUCGGGCCAUCGAAUAAAUGGGUCUACAUGGGCCGUAAUCAGGCGUAAUUGGUAUCGGCCCAGCACGGUAACAGGCCGUUAACAGGCCGUAGGACAGCAAAGGCUUAAUUAUGUCACAGGCAUAACGGGUCGUUAAUGGGCCAGAAUAUAGGACGGGCUGGAAACGGCGCAACGGGUUAACAGGCCAGAAACGGGCCGACUCUUGCCAUGGGCCGAAUUUAGCCCAUUAGGGUAACAGGCCAGUAACGGGCCGACUCUUGCCAUGGGCCGAAUUUGGCCCAUUAGGGGAACAGGCCAGUAACGGGCCGACUCUUGCCAUGGGUCGAAUUUGGCCCAUUAGGGGAACAGGCCAGUAACGGGCCGGAAGUAAUCGACGGCCGAAAAGGAGCCCAAGAACGUAUGGGCCGUCAAUAGGUCGAAAGCUAACACGGGCUGGAAACGGCCCAUGUAAAUCACGGGCCGUUAACGGGUAUAAAGAAAAUUACUGUUCAUUAUGGGCUAGAGUCACCGUGGGCCUGUAAAGGGCCGAAAGAUACGAAGGCCUCAUAUGGGCCGAAAGACGUCGUGGGCCAUACAUGGGCCGAAAGUGAAAUGGGCUGGUGUUAUAUUCGACGGCCCACAUGACGUUGUUGGGCCGAUUUCCUUUAGGGCCUAACGGGCCGUGAGUUAACGGGCUAUUUGCGAAGAGACCGUUAACAGGCUUUUCAUGGGCGAGCCCGUUAACUUUUGACCAAGUCAAACGGGCCGGCUUUGUAAGCUAAAUGGGCCAGUGGUGGGCCGUGGCACGUGUCGACAUAUCAUAGGCGCCUAUCUGACCCACUGACGAGCUGACACGUGUUUCGUCCGGCCAAUAAGAAUUUUACACGUGGAAAUUUCCCAUUGGUCGGGGCUGUUAACGGGUUAUCGGAUCCAAAACCCGACCCGAUAGCUUAACGGCGUUCCGUUACGGUGGAUGCCACGUGUAUGUCACCCUUGACGAAAGCACUUCUGUGACGCGCGAUUUAUCGUCAUGGAAGUGGACACUUCCGUGAUGAUAAUUUUGGUAAUGUCAUGGAACACUUCUACGACAGCACAGGUAUGACUAUCUUGAUUCUGUCAUAAAAUCGUCAUGGAUGUACAUGCAUGACAAAAAACGCGACCUACUGUGACAAACACGUAUCAUCAUGGAAGUGCACUUUUUUUGUAGUGGAUGCCCACGCAGAGAAGAGUACGAGGAUUGAUUGGUUCAGCUGCGGGGUGAGGCUGCCGUCGCCGCAGAAUAUCAGGGGGUGUGGGUGAGUAGAGGGAUGGCCUGGCCAGCGGUGGGAGCCGUAGGGGGCGGUGAGGCCUCCGCGGCAGCACAGCCGGCCACGGGAGGCAGGAGCACGCGGCACGACCGGCGCUGGUUUGGGCGGCUGGAGCAAGAAGACCAGAGGUUGAAGAAGCACUAUGACUAUUGGAUGGACAUCGUAGGGUUACUGGAGCUAGAAUCGUUCAUAUUGACUAAGUAGACAAUCCCCUCCAUCCGCGUCAACUUAGUACGCCCACAAGUCAGCCUCCCACUAUGGUGGGUCCUAGCUAGCAAGGGGAAUAUUCAUUUUUUUGUGCGUAAUAAGGAGGCACUUCCUUGCGUAUGAAGAUAUAGCUGGUGGGUCCGAGCUGUCAGCGGGAGGAACGUUUUUUCAUGAAAUACAGAGGCCCUUCUGGUGGGUCCCAGCUGUCAGGUGGAGGAAUCAUUAUUUUGCGCGUAAUAAGGAGGCAUUUCCUUGCGUGCGGCCGUGGACCCAGCUGUCAGCCUUCCCACGUAUAGUCCUCUUCCGAUGGAUGUCGUUUGUUGACCACGUUGACCACGCCGUACCGAGAGCACCAGGGCGGUGGACGACAGCGAGGCCUAGGAACGGAACGACACGGAGCCAGGGAAGACUCGGCAGUUGUUUCCCACGCGGAGGGGAGUACGAGGGUUUACUAGUUCGUCUGCCAUUGCUGGAGAAUAACAGCAGGUGUGGGUGAGUAGAGGGAAGGCCAAGCCAGUGAUGGAAGUAGGGUGGGGCGGUGAGGCCUGCGCGGCAGUACAACUGGCCACGGUAGGAGGGAGCAGGCAGUCCCGCCGGCGCUUGUUUGAGCGGCUGGAGCAGGAAGAGCAGAGAUGGAAGAAGCACAACGGCCGUUGGAUGGACAUCCAACAGUCACUGCUCUCGUGUGUUGACUAAGUUGACACGGCGUUGCAUGUGCGUCAACCUUUUUUAGGAAAGCGUACGCGUCAACCUAUAGUAGGCGCAUAAGUCAGCCUCAAAUCUGUGGAAAACAGCAUACAACACAUCUGCCAUUAUUUCUAAUAAUUUACCGCCCAUUUGCUAAUUCUUAAGGUUUUUUCAAGCCCAUAUUCUUUUUGUUAGCAUUACAGCCCAUAAUGUGGCCACGGUUAAAAAAUUAUACGAAAUUUUGCAUAUUUUGGUGCGGUCCGAACUGUUUUUAAUCCUGAAAUUUUGAGUUACAUUCAAACUAAUUUUUAAAAUAAAUCAAUAUCAAUAUAAAAUCCAACAAAUUGUCCACGCAUAAAAAUCAAUGAAAUUUAAAAUCUCGAAAUGAAAAAAAAGAAAUUUGAAACUAAUUGUUGAUUUGAUGUGUUUUAAAAAUGCACAUCCCAUUUCUCAUUACUGAUAGCCCAUUUUAUGGGCCAGCCGAAUGAAGCUCUUCUCGUCUUGAAAGAUUUGCAGCCCAACAAGACUGACUAAGCGGCCUACUUGACAAAGCAGAAAAAACUGGGCUAGCUCUUUUCAGAAAGAAAAAAAAUACUGGGUUGGUCUUGUGGUAAACAUAAAAGAAAAGGUUGUCUAGACAGGCCACAGUGCCCCGCACAGCCCAGUUGACACCAUGCUUCCGUCUCAAAAACAAAAAUAACUGGGCGAGAUGUUGGGUCCCUGGUGUCAGCCGCUCGUUGUGCAAUUCUCUCGUUUAUUGACUACGUUGACAAUGGCAUAGGACCCAGAUGUCAUAAAUCCAUUAGGAGGAAUCUUUUUUUGCUUGAAAUAAGGAGGCACUUGCUUGCGUACUGCCAUGACCUUGGUGGGUCCCUGCUGUCAUCCUCUCCAUGUAGAAUCAUCUCCUGAUUAUGUACGCGUCAACCUAGUAGGCCCACAAGUCAGCCUCUAAACCCAUGGCGGACAAAUACAACCCAUUUAAAAAAUAAUAGCCCAUUCCAUACGUUCAAACGGAAAGUUCAACAUUCAGAGCAAAGUAACAGGUUUGAUCCAGAUAUAGAGUACUGAACUUCCACGUUGACAACCAUCAUAGCCAAGUUAACUAUCUACUCCCACUAAUACUCUAGUAGUGUACAAGUACUAACUUACUCUUAGCUAACUAGAUGAUCCCGGCCGCCAUCUGCGGUACACGCUAAACGCCGGCACCGAAGUCCUCUGCCUCGCCUCGGACUUGCCAAAGGUGCGAUAGGGCGUGUUGCUCGUGCGCGUUGGCCCUUUCCAUGCCGGCGUGGUCCACCGAAGCUUCGGCUUCUAAGCAGGAAACCCACUUGACGAGCUGGUAGUAAAAUUCGGCGUCGCGAACGCGUGCGUGCCCGAUAGCCUCCAUGGCUAUUUGCUGGGCACCGGCCUCCAUGUAGUCGGCCCAGUUGUGGGCGCUCUGCUCGUGACUCAGAGCAUCGGUGCACUGCUGUUCCACGCCCCGCUGGCGGCGCAAAUCGGCGAUACGCUGCUCCUUUGUCAGGCGGUCGCGCUCCAACAAGUCAUCAUACUCUACAUUGCCAUCUAAAAACCGAUAGAAUGCCUCCUCCCUCCGUUUGCCUUCCGGUGAAAAACCGAACACUAGUUCCGGCAGUGACCGCCUCCGGCGUCGCCUAUUACGGACGGCCGGGGGGAUGACGGACGUGGCGAGAGCGAGGAUAAGUGACGAACAACGUCGGGACGGUGGGGGCUUAUGAGGAUAGGGCGAGUUGGGUGAUGGUGCCACCGGAGAACACCGGGAACAAGUAAUUAUAGGCGGAAGGUAGGUGAACCAGCGUGUCGCGGGAAACAUGAUGGUCAUCGCGGUCAUCGGAAUUCAAUGCAUAAGCACGCAUGGCUUAGCGCGCCAGCUUGCCGUGGAAAACUGGAAAAACUGAAAUUAUGAAUGUGCCAUCCCGUCCCGUCUCGUCAGUGGUGCGUCUCGUCCGUGCUGGGUCGCACGUCGGCAUGACGGUCGAAUGAGUACGCUCGAUUCAUCGAGAUGAGGUACGUGCGUGAUCCAUUGGUUAUUCGCGUAGGAUCGAGUCGGUCGGAUGGUGUAUGUGUAGGAUCGUAAUAGCGGAUGAACGUUCUCUGGGAGAUAAGGCAUUUGCGAACGUUUUUUAUGGCGGUUUCUUCAUAUUCGCAUGGCAUUUUCUUCAGAACUGCAUGUCAGUUUCUUUAGAGGUAGGCAUUUUUAUUCAAAAAACUGCCACUUUGGAUCUUGCGUAGCAACUAAAACUGCCAGGAGCGCAUUAGUAGGUUAGCUAGUCAUCGAUCAGUAACUUGUAAACACUGAGCGAACAGAAAUAAGGAACUGUUAGUAACUUGUAAACACUGAGAACAUAGAAAUAAGGAUCAUGCUAUGCAUAGUAAUAAGAGUCGAUCCAUUCGAAAUGUUCACACGAGACUCACAUGCCUGACAUUGUAAUAUGUUCACAUUAGUAGCCCAAAUUCACAACCAACUAGUACGAUUCACAGAUCAUAUACAAAUAUGUAGCUCCAAAAGCAAAGAUCUAGAAAAAACAUAUGUUCUUCCUACUAACAUGGAUGCUUCUCUUGGCCAACAUUCAGUACAGAGUGAAAGACAAAUUUGUUUGUGAAGUCUACAAUUCCUCUUGCAAACGUAAGUGGUUUCACCAAUAGCUGGAACCAUGAGAAUGAACCACACAUGAUGGAGGAAAAUCCACUACAAUAUGAUUUGGUCUUCUCUCGAUCACACGGCGAGACUAUUUUCGGAAUACAAACUUUAACUUAGGCAAAAUGAUGCCCAUUGUAUAAUCAGACCAAAGCAAUGAAGCACCUAGUGUUGGGCAAUAAAUAGUACAGUACUACUUUUGUGCAGUUCAUGAAGUGACUAUCCAAUCUUUCUGUGUCUAUUUUCAAAUGGCACUGCAUGUAGUGACUAUACUAUUCUCUUGUGCAGUUCCACCAAAAUUAUGGUCACUUCGUUUGUUUGCCAAAUAGCAACGGGCAGACAUCUGUCUGCACAAAUAUCAAGCAGCUAGUAAACAUAUACCCCAUCUUGUAUUUUCGGUUUAAACACGUCUCUUCCGCUUAGCAUCUGUCAUGUUUUGCACUGGACAAUUUGAUACUGUCAUGUUUUUCCCUCGACAAUUUCGUACUGAAUUGAUUUGCUGGUACAGAGCAGAAAUAUAGCGCCUAUUCUUCAUCAGACCAAGGAUAUCCAUGUUCGCAGUGAUGAAAGAGGUGAAAUAGAUACAACCGAAAUUGAGUAUCCAAUCAUUGAAUCACGUCCUGCACCUCCAAUGUAGGUCCACCCAGCCAAUAAAUUCACAUGCAAACCACUAAUAUUACUAUCUAAUGACAGUACAAAAAGAGUAGCAAGAUAGUAGCAAACCAUGUACCUUCGUAAUGAACAGCUCAUAGUGCCACCAAUUGGAUAUAAAGGUUUGGAAGAAAACAUGCACCUAAUGUUGAACCAUUUGGACUUUUUGUGCCGUUCCACUAAAAUCGAGCAUCCCUGUUUGCAUAGAUAUUGAAAGUGUGAUUACUAUAAAAGUGGCACUAGUUGAAGCAUAGACUCAUAAAUAUAAGCAUUCCAAUUUCUUAAUGGGAAAAGGUAGCAAGACUGUUUCUAACCACCUGUUUGAAGGAAUAAAUAGGGCAACAACGGAUGAUUUCAGGAAGGCAUACAUAGUAUUUUCUUAAAAAUUGAACCAUUCCUAACCUUUCCUCUUCUUUUAAGCAUAUUCUUUGCAGUUCAACUAAAAUAAAAUGUCAUCACCGCCUUGACAAUUCAGUGACACUGUACAAAAAGAAAUGACUUAACAUUACAUCGUGAUGUCAGGUAUGUAAUCGACGGGCAUUAGAGACAAACAUACAGACCUCCUCCGAUAACAUAAUGAACAUUAAUUUUAACAAAGGUGUGACUAGCUUUACCGGGAUAAUUUGAGUGAACUCUACACCCUCUAUUCCUUAAUAUAAGACAUUUUCGCAAUUCAAUUUAAAGUACCCAAACGUCUAGUAUUUAGAAAAACAGGUAGUAUUUUUCUUGAGCACAUAUCUGGGAAAGCUUGCCACACUUUAUAUAUGUCCAUACGCUAAUGCAACACCAUUUGAAUAGUAUAAAUAUACACUAAUACAGUGGCUAGUGCAACAGUAGAGUAAAUUUUUAUUACGGGGUACAGUACAAUGGUUUUACCGAACAGAUUUACAUAAGCUAGCACUGGAAGAUUUCUAUAAGCAUUAACAAUACAAAAUGUAAAGGUAACAAGUUUCAGCAUUGGUAUACUAGCUGUGCAAGAGCAUUAAACCAAAUACAAAAGUCUGAAGGUAACUAGCAUUAUUAACUAAUGCCACUAUAAAAAAAUUGCAAACCAUGUACCUUCAAGGUAAAUAUCAUUUCGAACUCAAGGGGACCUCAAAAUUGCUAUCCCAAUCUUGAUAAUCGAUCAAACAUAAAAACUUGAUCGAAUGGAUCAAGAGAACAGCCGGAGGAGGAGGUGCCCACUCUUGACCUUUCCUCUUGUCUUCAUAAUUUUUUGUGCAGUUUAACCAAAAUAAAAUGACAUCAGCGCCUUGUUAUUUUUGUGACACUGUACAAAAAAAAUUGACUUAUCUCAUGAAAGUGAGGUAUGUAAUCUAUAAGCAUUAACAGUGCAAAAAUCUGAAGGUAGUAACAAAUUUCAUCGUUGGUAUACUGGCUGUGCAACAGUAUUAGAAUGCCUUAGCUGAAAAAUCUUUAAUACAUACACAACCAACAGCUAACCCUGAAAUAAUCCAGUGACAUGAAAUGGCAUUGCUUAAAUUUAUCAGUGGCAUUAGACUCAGUGCGGCAUUAGUUAAAUGUGGCAUCACUUUAGAAGUAGCAUUGCUUGACUUUACCGCUGGCGUUAUACUAACAACAAACAAGUGGCAAUAAGAGCAUGGGAGGCCCAUUCGGACAGUGGGCGCACCAGUACGAUGUACCUCCACGAACGCAUAGCUCAGAAUCAAUCCCCCGGCAAGUACCGUGCCCGUUUUGGUGCUCUAGGUGUCGGAUGUCCGGCCCGUUGGCCCGGAUGUGUGGCCCCCCGGUUGUCCGGACCACAAAUCUUGCAUCGCAAUUUGGAUCUCAAACUUGAUUUGGGGGCGGAAUUUUGUGAUUUAGGGGUCAAAAUUGAUGGGGAAAAGAAAAUUUUGGAUGGAUUUCGUGGUGGGUGGGGAAAGCCAAGAUCCACUUGUCAAACACCAAAAUCAUGGAUCACAAAAUGCAAAAAAAAUUGGUGAGGCUAUUUUUGGUGGUGAUUUUCGAAUUGGGACGAAAUCAAGCAAUAGGCUAGAAAACGGAGGUGGGGACUCCAAAUUCGUGUCAACCAAAGCUCUGAUCCAAGAUGAUGUAGGGCCAAGCCCUUGCUAGUGAUCUUGCACGAAUUGGAGGGGAAAACCACAAAGAACACGAAGAACACGGGGAAGAACGGGGAGAAAUCAUAAGAUGAACAUUCAAGAACAGGUCCAAUCAAACAUCACUAGACUCACAUCCACACAAGAUCCACGAAGGUACAUGAACAACAAAGGGAACAAAGAUACAAGGUAGAGUUCAUCCCAAAUCCUAUGAAGGAGAUGAGGUCUUGAAUCUAAGAUGGAUCUUCCCUAGAAAGGGGUCUUGAUACCCACUAGGGGGUCUUCUCACACGGAGGUCUUGAUCUCCAUGGGAGAGGUGGUAGAUGAGCAAGUGGGCGGGUAAGAGAGACAGGUUAUAUGGCAUCUUGCUCGUGGCUGCGUUACAGGCGCCGGAUGUCCAACCCGACUUGAGGCAUCGGAUGUCCGACCAGGUGGUGGUCUGAGUCAGCCUCUUCUCUAGACUCCUUUGUCCGGAUAUUGGAGGAGGCGCCGGAUGUUCGGGGGUCAUCCGUAUGUCCGGCCACUAAAGCUCUUCUGUUCCUCUUCUACACGGGCGUCGUAUGUCCGACCAUGGUCCGAAUGUCCGGUCGUUGUAACUUCCGCAACUCUGUCUUCUUCCAUCGUCGCUUCCAUGCUUCCUUCGUGGAUGGUGUAGUUGUUUCUUGGCUCUUGCACUCCUCCUCGUCAUCCAUGAUUCUUAGGUAAAACCUAUGCAUGCACAUGAGAGGAGUGUCAAAUAGUAUACCAUUCUCGAAGGGGUCAAGUGAACACGUGUAAAGGAGAUGAUCCACCUUUAUGUAUGUGAAGUAGAUGCUGCAUGUGUCACUUGCUGAACGGACUCUUGACAUGGUGAUGUUCGUAGGAUGCUCCGCAUCAUGGCGCCUCAAGCGGGCGGGGGAGCAGCCGAAAUUUAUCCUAGGAGGUGCCUCCGAUCGAGUAUAUUUGAGAGAGUUGGGCUGCCUUUUUUUGGGAUAACUCCUUAAAUAUUUGCUCCUCUAAAUGUAUAAGGGUUUGGUUAGAUGCGGUUAGUUGCUUGUUUUGCUCCAUUAAAAACAUUUUAAGGGAUGGGCUAGAGAUGCCCUAAGACAUUCAAUUUACAGAUUUAGUGGGCCGAAGAACACCUUAGAAUUAGGUGAUCCAUUAGUUCUGGUUUUUUGCGAAAAUGAUUCAGAUCUAUUAUCAAAGUUCAUCGGAAAUACAAAACAUCUCAAACAUAAUAAUAAUUACAUCGAGAUUCCGAGACCACCGAACGACCACUACCUUCAGAAGAAUGAGUCGUUGAAGCGUUGAUGUCGUUGUUCCCCUAUUGAUGACGGUUUGACCUUGGGGAUAAUAGCUGGGAAGUCUUCGUGGACGUACCCCUAAGAACCAGCGCCAUGGAGCCGCAAUCGCCGUUGUUGAAUCCUUGAAUAAAUCUGAAGCAUCUAAAACCAAAUGGCGUCACACUAUGAGAAACCCUAACCUCACGGCCCCAAGGAGAUAUCGGGAAUAUAUGCUGGAGCUUCGUCGACUACGUCUGGAUGAACGCACUCGGAUCGAAGCCUGAAAGACAAACUCGAAGAAGAAGCGUCGCCAUCUACCCGAGCGUUGCACCUGCGAUGACUAAAACCCUAGCCUAAAUUACUAACCGAAUCGAAUGCAUCAGGAUUCCCCUUCCGUCACAGGCUGCCGGAGCGACAUGCAAAGGGGAGGCGAAUCCACGGGUUCGCCGACGAAGCAUGAACGGAAGAGUUUUCCCUAACCGCCAAGGGAUAGGGGUGAGAAACAGAAACCCUAACGAUGAGCAUACACAUUGAGGGCAUCCACCGAUUCAGUUGCCACGCACAAAUCACAGAAGCAGUGAUAAAUGUUCCUCCGGUUCUUCUUGACCAUGUAUACCCUCACAUUCAGCCGACCUCAACAUGCAAGCCAAGAAAUACUCUCCAUUUUUUGGGAAUGAUGGUAGCCCGAAAAAAUCAAAGAAUAAUCUAUUUAAAUCUAUAAAAAAAUAUAACAGAUGUUUGCUGAGAUGGUACCCACUACUUUAAGGCGUCAUGGUGUCCCGAGGACACGCACAUGGUCAUGCUUCAUGAUCGUACAAGGAGCGUUCUCCGUUGUCGCUCUCGCAACUCUUUUUCUUUCUAAAAUAAAAUGUUUUCCUUGAGCCUUUGGGAUGUCCUAUAUCUGGUUGGAUGGAAAACCAAAGCAGGUGCUACGCCACCGAACUUUUAGCGGCGCAGAAGAAAUAGAGCAGAUGGAGGGAAGUUUGUUUUAUGGAGAAAUAAGGCGGUUUAAAAUUAGAAAUGCCAGAGCAUCCCCAUCCCCAGGCAAUAAUUGAGCAAGCAAAGCCUUUAAUCACUCCCUGUAAACGUGUAUCUAUAUAUUAGGAGCCCACAGCGAUUAACCCAAGGAAAGGGUACUGCUAAUAUAGAGGAGGUGGACAGGCCAGCCCCCCUCUGGCCUUGUUCUCUCCCCCCACAUGCCCUGCCCAAGGUGAUCAUUCUUCCUUCAACCAUCCAGCAAUCCAUGGAUGCUUUUAAGAUUCAGCAUGUGAAUUGAUUGCUUCUCUGUUCAUCAUUCUCCUCCGAUUUGGUUGGUUUUCUGCGAGAUUGUGAAUUGAUUCUGUCUCUCCCGGCUUUGCAUUUGGUUCUUGAUGAGAUUGUUGGGUAGAUGUUGUUUUUGGAGCCUGGAAAGAAAGAUGUGCAUCCCUCCCAUCAUUCGAUUCGAUUCGAUGACAAAAACAAAAAGGCAAUCUCAUGUGGUUAGCUAGCUUGUAUUCUACGUGUGGAGAACAUGAUGAUUCCAUGAAUCCAUCAAAAGUUGGUGCUGCAUUGGCUUCCGAUUCUUCAGAUUCUUGGCCAUUCCUGGUGUGGAGCUCUAAUCUUCCCCUUCCUGAUUGAUUCAUCAGUGCCAAAUCCAAGAAUUAGAGCUGCUCCAUUGACGGGGGAGAGAUCGACAGCAAUGGGGGAGCUGGUGGUCGCCCGGAGGUACUGGUGCCACAUGUGCGCCGCGGCGGUCAGCCCCGUGGCCGCGGACGCCGGGGUGGAGAUCAAGUGCCCGUAUUGCGGCAGCGGCUUCCUCGAGGAGAUGGAGACCGCCCGCAGCAGCGUCGCCACCGGCACCGGCCACGCCCACGCCAGCCCUAGCGCCGACAACGCCAUCUCCAUCUGGGCCCCCAUCAUCGACAGCAUGGUCGGCGACCCCGUCCGGCGCCGUCGCAGCAACCGCCGCACUGUGGACGCCGUGGCCGCCGCAGAGGACGAGCUGGACAACGUCGACUUCUCGCGACGCCGGCGGCGCGCCACCGCAUUCCUGCGGCUCCUGCAGGCGAUCCGGGAGCGCCAGCUGCAGCGCCUUGAGUCCGCGGCCGCCCUCGGCAACGGUGGCGGCCUCGAGACAGAGCACUACAGCCCAUUCGGCCGGAGCAUCUUCGCGGCCGCCCCCCUCGGGGAGCACGGCAUGGCGCUGGGGGACUACUUUCUUGGGCCCGGGCUGGACGCCCUGAUGCAGCAGCUGGCCGACAGCGACGCGGGCCGGCAGGGCACGCCGCCGGCAAAGAAGGGCGCCGUGGAGGCGCUGCCAACCGUGGAGGUGGUGGGUGGGUGCAACGAGGAGGACGCGGCGAGCUGUGCGGUGUGCCUGGAGGACUACGCGUGCGGCGAGCGCGCCCGGGAGCUGCCCUGCAGGCACAGGUUCCACUCCCAGUGCAUCGUGCCGUGGCUGGAGAUGCACAGCUCCUGCCCGGUCUGCCGGUUCCAGCUGCCCGCCGACGACGACCCAAAGAGCUCAUGCGGCAGCGGCAGUGGGAGUAGCAGCACCACCACCACCUACGUCACCUAUGUCAGUGCUGAGGUGAACGACAAUGUGGAUGGUCAUGGCAAUGAGAGUGGCGAUGAGGCAGCGGGCAAUGCGGCCGUGGAGCGCCAAGACGGCGAUGUGGAGGGUGAAGGAAACGCGAGCCGGCUGCCGGCGUCCAUACAGUGGCUCAACAGCCUCUUCUCCCCGCAGGCGGCAUCACCAUCCUCCACUUCCACUUCCGGCGGCAGCUCGCGGCACUUUGAGGACUAAAUCUGCUCUGCUCCGUUCGGAUGCCAUUGUCAUACCUACCACGAACGCAAGGGUUUGCUGCUGCGCUAAAACUUGGAGCUUUUCUCCUGUCUCUUCGUGUGAAUCGGUCAUUUGGGUGUAAUUUAAAAAGAAAAAACAAGGGUUGUACAGUUUAAAUUUGAUACAUUUUGUCAAAUAUAUGACUGAUGUUCAUCAGUUUUCAAACUCUACACGACGGUAAUCUGGGCAAAAUUGAGAAGUCUGGGCAAAAUUGACCAAACGCUUUUAUUGUAUAACAAUCAUCCUUCACCAUCUUGAGAUAAACUAGCAUGUUAGAAAUAUAACGCAAACAACAGGCAAACAGAUGAAGUGAAGCAACUAUCAGGUAGUUCAAUCGUUGCAUACAAGUUAUAGUAGUAGUAGCAAAACAAGCUGCUGCGAUAAUAGUUUUGGUGUUUCCAUGGCUAACCCCUCUCAUAAAGAAUAAACAGCCACAACUUGAUAACACAAAGUUUUAACCAGGUUGCACUGCCGUAAUCUUGGCAGCAAAAAACUGUGGGUAUGCGUAGCCUCGCAAAAAAAGGAAAAUCCCCGGGCAAAAUGGUGUUGCAUUGUCGCUGCCACUAGCUUACACGGUCAAGAGCUUGAUGACAGAUGCAUUCCCGAUGCGGUGAAGGGCCACAAUGGACUCACCAGCGUUGCAAAGCCCCAUCUCCUUGGCGUUCUUCAUGGCAAACCUCAG
rnacentral:lncRNA from 1 species